rnacentral:ncRNA from 1 species
UCAGCGAAAGGGCAAACCCACUGAGAGGUGGGGACGCAAAGCCACGGGACCCGCGAGGGCCAGCCGGGCCAUCGAA